ACGACGAGGACGAUGAUGGGGAAAGUGCUGCUGGGACUUCAAGGAAACUUGAGCGGCAUCCUUACACUAAAAAUUAACCGAGCAGGCAAGCUCCCAAGUCCCGCGGGCAUUUUUAGUCGAAAGUGUUUUAAUCAAACGCCUCUCUACACUUGCCCCAGCCGGAAGCCGGUUCGGGGUCAAAGUUGCUCCUUAGUCUGUUUUUGUUUUUCUUAUUGUUGUGUAGUUGCUUGUUGUUGUUUGUCAGACUAUAUUAUUGUUAUGAGAACAAUAAUAACAACCAAUGGGGAAGGAGAGUACUAUGCGAAAAAUCGCAGCUGAGAAGCGGAUUGCUCUUGAUUGUUGAUGCCGCUCAUAACCCGAAAUGUAUUACCUGAGGAACUCUUUUCAAAUUACUAAGAUUUAAAGCUCAAAAGCUCAUCAAAAACAGACCUAAUAGGGCAAGUAAAAAAUUCCAGUGUAUUCCCACGGCAGACCGACUGACUGAUGUCCGUUGUGUCCGUCUUGGGCUGACAACAUUUCGACACUUUUCCUAAUUAUGAUAGGCAUGUUGCCGGCAUGAUGAGCCUAAUUCUGGUGCCGACUAUUACGAUGAUGAUGAUGAUGGAAAUUGGCUUAACCCCAGGGCGCUCAGCCGCAGUUAUGAAGCGGCGCAAUCUCCGCAAUGGAACGGAAGGACAAGACUAAGGACUCUCGGCCGGACACUCUCAUCAAAAUGCCAGCCUAGUUAUCACCCAUAAUGAUGACGGCCGCAAAGUGUGGAUGGUGUUGGAGAAGAGACGACCGAAAGCAGGGCGUAACUUUGUGUAAUAAUUGUUGUUAAGCGUUUAAGUCGGGCGUGCCACUUUGGCGGCUAACCGAGUGGCAUCUCGUGGGAGAAUAACCCAGGACUUGAACAACUUAUCGCUACCGCAAGGCAGUCAGCCAGCCGAGUAGCCAACGAGCCAAAAAGCCAACAAUGGAGCGAAGGUCCAACGGAAUCUGUGGUUGAGUUAGGUUCGUUUUCGGGACUGGCUCUUCUCGGUUACUUCACUUUUUGCUACAAGCAUUCAAUGGUGCUCAAGCGGGCAGCUGAAUUUGAUUAAACAAAAGCGAAAGUUUUAAAA